rnacentral:rRNA from 1 species
UACGGAGGGUGCAAGCGUUAUCCGGAUUCACUGGGUUUAAAGGGUGCGUAGGUGGGUUGGUAAGUCAGUGGUGAAAUCUCCGUGCUUAACAUGGAACUGCCGUUGAUACUAUCUGUCUUGAAUACCGUGGAGGUGAGCGGAAUAUGUCAUGUAGCGGUGAAAUGCUUAGAUAUGACAUAGAACACCAAUUGCGAAGGCAGCUCGCUACACGAAUAUUGACUCUGAGGCACGAAAGCGUGGGGAUCAAACAGG